UACGUAGGGGGCAAGCGUUGUCCGGAUUUAUUGGGCGUAAAGAGCGUGUAGGCGGCCAGGUAGGUCCGUUGUGAAACCUGGAGGCUCAACCCCGGGAGGCGGGUGGAUACUGGUGAGCUUGAGUCCGGAAGAGGCGAGUGGAAUUCCCGGUGUAGCGGUGAAAUGCGCAGAUAUCGGGAGGAACACCAAUGGCGAAGGCAGCUCGCUGGGACGUGACUGACGCUGAGACGCGAAAAGCGUGGGGGAGCAAACAGG
rnacentral:rRNA from 1 species